rnacentral:rRNA from 1 species
GCGUUAAUCGGAAUUACUGGGCGUAAAGCGUGCGCAGGCGGUUCUAUAAGACAGAUGUGAAAUCCCCGGGCUCAACCUGGGAACUGCAUUUGUGACUGUAGAGCUGGAGUGCGGCAGAGGGGGAUGGAAUUCCGCGUGUAGCAGUGAAAUGCGUAGAUAUGCGGAGGAACACCGAUGGCGAAGGCAAUCCCCUGGGCCUGCACUGACGCUCAUGCACGAAAGCGUG